AAAAGAACGCCUUGAGCCACCAGCAGCUGAAAGAAAAUCCUCCAUCUCAGGAAGGCCCCAGUAUUGCCAGGCUGGGAGAAACCCAAGCCAUGAGGAUAGACCAUGAAUAGGAGUUCUGGUUGACAAUCCCAGUUCACUCCCAGCUUCAAAUACACAAGGCCAAGUGCCAGAUACGGGCAUAAAAAGCAAUUUUGGAAGUGGACACUCCAGUCCCAGCUGUCCUAGCCCUCAGCUAUUUGAGUUGCAUCCAGACAUGUAAAUCUUCCCAGCUGAGGCCUCAUCAUUGAGGUGCAGAAAAGGGGCAUGCCCAUUGUGCCUGUUUCUAAAUUCCUGACCCACAGAACCUGUGAGCAUAAUACAAGUUUACUAUUUUAUACCACUAAUCAGCAAUACAACUGGGAUUUGAUAUCAGAUUCAUGCGAUUCCGAAGACCCUGACCACCAAAUGCAAAAGUAGAGUGGGGUGCUGGUGAAAACAUAUCCAAAAAUGUGGAAGCGACGUUGGAACUGGGUAACAGGCAGAGGUUGGAACAGUUUGGAGGACUCAGAAGAAGACAGGAAAAUGUGGCCAAGUUUGGAACUUCCUAGAGACUUGCUGAAUGGCUUUGAACAAAAUGCUGACAGUGAUAUGGACGAUGAAAUCCAGGCUAGGUGGUCUCAGCUGGUGAUAAGGAACUUGUUGGGAACCGGAGUAAAGGCUCAUAGGUGGAAGGGACUUGCCUUGUCUCAGAUGAAACUUUGGACUGUGGACUUUUGAGUUAAUGCUAAAAAGAGUUGACACUUUGGGGGACUGUUGGGAAGGCAUGACUGGUUUUGAAACAUGAAGAUAUGAGAUUCGGGAGGGGCUGGAGUGAAAUGAUAUGGUUUGGCUCUGUGUCCCCAUCCAAAUCUCAUCUUGUAGCUCCCAUAAUUUCUAUAUGUAGUGGGAGGGACCUGAUUGGAGAAGACUGAAUCAUGGGGGCAGGUCUUUCCCAUGCUGUUCUCAUAAUAGUGAAUGGGUCUCACAAGAUCUAAUGGUGUUAAAAACAGGAUUGUCUCUGCACAAGCUCUUUUUUUGCCUGCUGCCACCCACAUAAGAUGUGUCUUGCUCCUUUUUGCCAUGAUUGUGAGUCCUCCCCAGCCAUGCGGAACUGUAUGUCCAAUAAACCUUUUUCUUUUGUAAGUUGUCUGGUCGUGGGUAUGUCUUUAUCAGCAGUGUUAAAAUGGACUAAUACAAUCACUCUAUCAAAUGAG
rnacentral:lncRNA from 10 species